AUUGAACGUUGGCGGCAGGCUUAACACAUGCAAGUCGAGCGGGGUGAUGGUGCUUGCACUAUCACUUAGCGGCGGACGGGUGAGUAAUGCUUAGGAAUCUGCCUAUUAGUGGGGGACAACAUCUCGAAAGGGAUGCUAAUACCGCAUACGUCCUACGGGAGAAAGCAGGGGAUCACUUGUGACCUUGCGCUAAUAGAUGAGCCUAAGUCGGAUUAGCUAGUUGGUGGGGUAAAGGCCUACCAAGGCGACGAUCUGUAGCGGGUCUGAGAGGAUGAUCCGCCACACUGGGACUGAGACACGGCCCAGACUCCUACGGGAGGCAGCAGUGGGGAAUAUUGGACAAUGGGGGGAACCCUGAUCCAGCCAUGCCGCGUGUGUGAAGAAGGCCUUAUGGUUGUAAAGCACUUUAAGCGAGGAGGGGGCUCUUUUGGUUAAUACCCAAGAUGAGUGGACGUUACUCGCAGAAUAAGCACCGGCUAACUCUGUGCCAGCAGCCGCAGUAA
rnacentral:rRNA from 1 species